rnacentral:rRNA from 1 species
UACAUGUGGGGCAAGCGUUGUUCGGAAUUACUGGGCGUAAAGGGCGCGUAGGCGGAUUAGUAAGUUGGGAGUGAAAUCCCGGGGCUCAACCUCGGAAUUGCUUUCAAAACUACUAGUCUAGAGUGAGGUAGGGGGUGAUGGAAUUCCUAGUGUAGAGGUGAAAUUCUUAGAUAUUAGGAGGAACACCGGUGGCGAAGGCGGUCACCUGGGCUUCAACUGACGCUGAGGCGCGAAAGCGUGGGGAGCAAACAGG